rnacentral:rRNA from 1 species
UACAGGGGGUGCAAACGUUGCUCGGAAUCAUUGGGCGUAAAGCGCCCGUAGGCGGUUCGUUAUGUCGGAUGUGAAAGCCCUUGGCUUAACCGAGGAAGUGCAUCCGAAACUGGCGAGCUAGAGUACGAAAGAGGAUCGCGGAAUUCCCGGUGUAGAGGUGAAAUUCGUAGAUAUCGGGAGGAACACCGGUGGCGAAGGCGGCGAUCUGGGUCGAUACUGACGCUGAGGUGCGAAAGCGUGGGGAGCAAACAGG